GACGAACGCUGGCGGCGUGCUUAACACAUGCAAGUCGAACGGAAAGGCCCUGCUCUUGUGGGGUGCUCGAUUGGCGAACGGGUGAGUAACACGUGAGUAACCUGCCCCUGACUUUGUGAUAACUUCUGGAAACUGCGGCUAAUACCGCAUAGAAUCUCCUGCUGCAUGUUGGGGGUUGGUAAGUUCCGGCUGUUGGGGAUGGUCUCGCGGCUUAUCAGCUUGAUGGUGGGGUAGUGGCUUACCAAGGCUUUGACGGGUAGCCUGCCUGAGAGGCUGACCGGCCACAUUGGGACUGAGAGACGGCCCAGACUCCUACGGGAGGCAGCAGUGGGGAAUAUUGCACAAUGGGCGGAAGCCUGAUGCAGCAACGCCGCGUGCGGAAUGACGGCCUUCGGGUUAUAAACCGCUUUCGACUGUGACAAAGCGUGAGUGACGGUAAUGGGUAAAGAAGCAACGGCUAACUACGUG
rnacentral:rRNA from 1 species